rnacentral:rRNA from 1 species
AAUGCGUUUUGAGAUGGUCCUGCGGCCUAUCAGCUAGUUGGUGGGAUAGUAGCCUACCAAGGCAGUGACGGGUAUCCGGCCUGAAAGGGUGAACGGACACACUGGAACUGAGACACGGUCCAGACUCCUACGGGAGGCAGCAGUGGGGAAUUUUGGACAAUGGGGGAAACCCUGAUCCAGCGACGCCGCGUGGAGGAUGAAGGCCUUCGGGUUGUAAACUCCUUUUAGAGGGGAAGAAAAAAAUGACGGUACCCUCAGAAAAAGCCACGGCUAACUACGUGCCAGCAGCCGCGGUAAUACGUAGGUGGCGAGCGUUACUCGGAAUUACUAGGCGUAAAGCGUAUGUAGACGGUCAUAUAAGUCUUUAGUGAAAUUCCUCGGCUUAACCGAGAAAGGUCUAAGGAUACUGUUUGGCUUGAGUGUGAGAGGGGGAGAUGGAAUUCCUGGUGUAGCGGUAAAAUGCGUAGAUAUCAGGAGGAACACCGAUGGCGAAAGCAGUCUCCUGGCUCAAUACUGACGUUAAUAUACGAAAGCUAGGGUAGCAAACAGGAUUAGAUACCCUGGUAGUCCUAGCUGUAAACGAUGUUCACUAGAUGUGGGAGGUAUCGACCCCUUCUGCGUCGACGCUAACGCAUUAAGUGAACCGCCUGAGGGGUACGACCGCAAGGUUGAAACUCAAAGGAAUUGACGGGGGCCCGCACAAGCGGUGGAGUAUGUGGUUUAAUUCGACGCAACGCGAAAAACCUUACCUGGGCUUGAACUGCUAAUGGUAAAAGUCGGAAACGGCAAUGACCCGCAAGGGAGUUAGCAGAGGUGCUGCAUGGCUGUCGUCAGCUCGUGUCGUGAGAUGUUGGGUUAAGUCCCGCAACGAGCGCAACCCUUAUCCCAUGUUACCUGUAGCAAUACGGGGUCUCUGAGGAAACUGCCAUUGAUAAAAUGGAGGAAGGUGGGGAUGAUGUCAAGUCAUCAUGGCCUUUAUGUCCAGGGCUACACACGUACUACAAUGGUCGGUACAGAGGGCAGCGAUAUCGCAAGGUGGAGCAAAUCCCUAAAAGCCGGCCUCAGUUCAGAUUGUGGGCUGCAAUUCGCCCACAUGAAGUAGGAAUC